rnacentral:misc_RNA from 1 species
CAGAGUUGCAAAACUCCCAACCCUUUGUGAACGAACCUACCAGUUGCCUCGGCGGCGAGCCCCCUGGGCGGACCGCCGGAGGAGUACAAACUCUUUGCAUUAUAGUAUCUCUGAUUACUUAUUCAAUAAGUUA